CAACUUUCGAGACGUCCUGCAGUGUGACGCUUGUGUCAUUCCCGUAUGACGGAAAAUCACUGGUUUCUCGAUGUUUACAAUAUCGUUACAAUACUAAUUUGUUAGUCAAUGUAAAUUGUAAUUUCAUCUAAGCUAUUGUUAUUGGAGUUUCUCUGCAUAAAACUUUAUCUUAAGACCUCAGUUGGAAGAGUUGGAAGAGUAAAGUACUGCUUGUGCCUGGUCCUAAUAACAAAACUUAUCGACCUAUGAACUAAUAAGAACUGCAUCUAAUAACUACGUAAGCCGCCUAUUUAAAAAGUGCAUUUUUUCCUGCAACUUCUUAGAAAGUUAUUCACGGUAUCUGACAAAUGGUAGUUACUAAGUCGAAUGUACGGCAGCAAUUUUAAAAGAAUUACCGCAGUACGCCACAUAAAAGCGAAACAGAAAACAAGAAGAAUAAUAGCGAAGAGAUUACAAAAUGCUUAGGCUGUCGUCCUGGACAAAAUUUACAAUAUCGAUUCUGUUCUUUCAAUCUUUCAGCGUACAGUUUCGAUCAAUCUUCCCUGACAAAAUAAUGACUGCAACAAUUACCGGAGGAGCAGAAAUCAAUCUAUUAAUUCAACGGGGAUUUCUUCUCGGUCGACGUGAGUAACGUCAAUUUGUUUUACAAGGAAUGAAAACUAUUUAUUUGUGGAACACAUUAACACCAAUUUACGGUUGACGUAUUAAUAGUACCUUAAAUAUUUAAAAUGUAAUAAGAAAUAUAAUAAUAGUUUUUUUCUAGAA